CACUGAUAAUCGCGCCAUAUUUCACAAUUUGUUUAUUUUUUUUAAAACCCAAACAAAGAGUAUAAUUAGGCAACAAAAGCUGAAGUAAAAAGAUAAACAAGAAUGGCGGAGACCGCAGCAUUUCGAACACAGUACGAGUUCAAGGCGAACUCUUAUACUGUGCUGAAAGCCGUUGCACGCCACAUCGAGCGUCCAAGUCGGGACUGGAAAGGUCUGCUACCUGGCUUAAAAGUUUGAUGGAACGAGGAUCUGGGCCCGGCGCACUCUGUCUUUGCCUGCACAACAAUCUGAACGUGGCCAAUAAGACCGCCCCCAAAUUGAAUCUCCGCAUUUCAAUACUAAUUAGACGAUCCAGACACAUCUGUCGUUGCUGCAGUUGGACCCGAACAGCAGGGAGAUACAGAGCUGAUAUUGAGCCACGCCAUUCGUCUUAUGUAGGCCUGGAUAACCAGGAAAAAUAAUCGCGAAGAAAAUGGGCAGCAAUGUGUAGUUCGAAGAGUUCUAAGAGGAGAGCGGCAACGAUGUGUAUUUCGAUGAUACACUAGUUGAUGGUGAGGAGGUAAUCAUUGAUCACACCCUGAAUGACGAGAAUCUCGGCUGGGAAAUGAGGAGGAUGAACAUGUGCAGCCGAUGGUUCGUAUAGGAAGCAGUAAAAGGGACAGUGUAGAAUCGGCAGGAUGCCGUCAACUGGCCGGCUACACGCAUCUCUAUAGACGCAUGCGGAAUAAUCUCACGUUAUCAAAGCGGAUCGUCUGCAAUAGCUACAGCAUGCGGAUCUGCUGCACAUGGCCGCCUGUUGACUGAGCGGAGCGGUCUGUUUAAGUAUAAUCGGAAGUAUAAUCACAUCACUGGGAAUCUGGGGCCCAUUGCAUCCUACUGUCAUCAUACACAUAACCAGCUGCUGAAGCAGAUACUCAGUUCUCGCGAAGGUGCAAAUUCCGUUAUAAUUUGUUGCGGGAGGAGGCAAAACUGGAGAAGCAGAAGCUGGAGCGCAAGCCCAUUAGGUAUAGGAACCCAUCGAGGAAACUGCAAGCGUACAGUUGCCACUGGAGCUGCCGUUUCAAGGUCGCGCAAAAUGCCACGACUGUUGCCACCAAGCCGAAGCCGGUGUAUAAUGCCGUUCUCAAGAAUAAGGCAAUUGAACUGUGCACUUAAAGAUGAAGACUAAAGAGACAAAAGACUAAAGACAAAGAGAAAACGCCAACAUCAGACAGCAUGUUGGAAUCGAAAACAGAUGAACGAUUUGCAUUGCUGGUCCACCUGUGCAGCAAACUUUGGCAAACUGUGCAGAACUGACAGCCACGGCAUUCCUGGAUCUACAAGCGCUACGUAAUCCGAAAUUCGAGUCACUUUACGCUUAGCUGGUCUACAACUACGUCGGAUGUCGAUAUGCUACCUCGGGCCUGAAACCGAAUGUACCCUGGAACUGCAGCCCAUAGAUGGCAGACUGAGCGGUACGAAGCAUGCUUUGAGUUCUAAUGGAUGGCUUUCGCCAACUGUGGCUAAAUAAGUACUGGCCCAGAUGGUCACCCAGGAUAUGAGCAGGGAAACGUAUUUUCAACAAAGACCUAACGUUAAUGGUGAUUUUUGUCUGAGAAGAAAAAUCAAAAGUGGUUUCCACAUCAUGGAGCUGAAGGAUUAGGCUGCUCUCCGAUACACAGAUGAACAAUAUGCUUCGAGUUUGCCAACGUUGAGAUCAACUGACAUAUACAACAUUAAAUACCCAUUUUC